UACAGAGGGUGCAAGCGUUAAUCGGAAUUACUGGGCGUAAAGCGAGUGUAGGUGGCUCAUUAAGUCACAUGUGAAAUCCCCGGGCUUAACCUGGGAACUGCAUGUGAUACUGGCGGUGCUAGAAUAUGUGAGAGGGAAGUAGAAUUCCAGGUGUAGCGGUGAAAUGCGUAGAGAUCUGGAGGAAUACCGAUGGCGAAGGCAGCUUCCUGGCAUAAUAUUGACACUGAGAUUCGAAAGCGUGGGUAGCAAACAGG
rnacentral:rRNA from 1 species